GUUACAAAUCGCGUCACUCUCUUGCCAGCUGAUCGGAGACACCGGUAGAGUGAGAGACGAUAAAGAAGCAGCCUGCCCGUGAGGAGUGCAGGCAGGAGCCAGGGAGAGUGUGAGUCUGCAUGGAACUGUUGGCUAACCUACAGCAGUUCUUCUCUGGCAAACUUUAUGUUCCUGUCCCCGUGCUAAAGCUGCCAGCUGAAGAACUGUUGUGGUCAGCUCUGCCCUGCAUUGGCCCUUCACAACUGGAACCAUCUCAGGCGUUUACCCUCUAAACUAGUAUGUUUUGCCUGAGCUUUCUUGGCAGUUUGAAAAUAACUAUUUCAAAAAUGUGAUGAGAAAAUGUAACGUUACGCAUGUUGUUGGUAGAGUGUAGUAGGUAACAAUGCUGCAACACCUGUGGGGUGUUGUGGGCAAAUUCUAUACCAAUAAGAGUUCUUGGGCAAAGCUCCAAUAAUUACCCUUGCCUGCUUCUGUAACAUGAUUGAAAAUUGUAAGUUGCUUUGGAUAAAAGCAUCUGCCAAAUGCAUAAAA